GAUUAUGGCUCAGAUUGAACGCUGGCGGCAGGCCUAACACAUGCAAGUCGAACGGUAACAGGAAGCAGCUUGCUGCUUUGCUGACGAGUGGCGGACGGGUGAGUAAUGUCUGGGAAACUGCCCGAUGGAGGGGGAUAACUACUGGAAACGGUAGCUAAUACCGCAUAAUGUCGCAAGACCAAAGAGGGGGACCUUCGGGCCUCUUGCCAUCGGAUGUGCCCAGAUGGGAUUAGCUUGUUGGUGAGGUAACGGCUCACCAAGGCGACGAUCCCUAGCUGGUCUGAGAGGAUGACCAGCCACACUGGAACUGAGACACGGUCCAGACUCCUACGGGAGGCAGCAGUGGGGAAUAUUGCACAAUGGGCGCAAGCCUGAUGCAGCCAAUGCCGCGUGUAUGAAGAAGGCCUUCGGGUUGUAAAGUACUUUCAGCGGGGAGGAAGGGGUUAAGGUUAAUAACCUUAGCCAUUGACGUUACCCGCAGAAGAAGCACCGGCUAACUCCGUGCCAGCCGCGGC
rnacentral:rRNA from 1 species